rnacentral:lncRNA from 1 species
AUGAAUCCGUCGUCGCCUUUAUCUUUUAGUCCUUUGAAGAGCCUUGAGAAUGGAAAUCAUGAGAGAUUUUUCCAUGGGGGAAGUUCUUUUUACGAGACGUUUAUUCAGAUUGAUUUCUCGGCACCCCGCGGGGCGGGCAACGGGCGGGGCUUCCAGUGCACCUUCUGCGCAGUGGAGCCGCGGAGGCUCAGCUGGACAGUGGUCGGGUCGUGGGGCUGGAGGGCGGGAGCGGGGGAAGGGAAAAGCAAAAGCGGGGAAAGAAGCCGGAGAGCGGUGGACCAGACAUCUAGACCUGAAAGGCUCGUGCGGAGGCAGAGGCGGGAUCUUCCGGAGGAAUUGCGAAAAGCCUUGCAGCAGCUACAAGAAGAAUUGCAGAAUAAGAGCCAACAGCUUCGUGCCUGGGAGGCUGAAAAAUACAAUGAGAUUCGAACCCAGGAACAAAACAUCCAGCACCUAAACCAUAGUCUGAGUCACAAGGAGCAGUUGCUUCAGGUGAGUUUAUAUGAUUUCAAUGAACACUGGGCUCAUAGAACUCUGAAAUUUGUUUAUAUAAUUUUAAGAUAUUAAUCCACCUGUGCUGAGUCCCUACUAUAUGGAAAACAUUGAGAGGUGGGAAUCAGGAGGAUUUAAAAUAAAUAGAAAAUAUAAUUUGUGAAUUAAGAUGCUUACUAACAAGUGUAAGAAACAGUACAUAUAGCCCUGAUUUAUGCAGUCUUUUAUGAAGUCUUUUAUAAAGACUUAAUAUUCAGAAAAUAGUUAUUAAGCACCUCUGUGAGUCAAACACUUUUCUGGAUGUUGGGAAGACAAAAGAUUUGGCUACUGAUCUCAGUGUAAUAGAUGAAGACAAACUGUACAGAAACUUCCAAAGAGUAAUUUUGAUGAUAGAAUGAAAGUUUGAGGGGAAGAUGGAGCAUUAAGAAGAGACUGAUCUGUUCUGCCACCUACUCUAAGCUUCAGUCACAUUGAAUCCACUACAUUUCACUGAAUGUACAAUUUUUUCAUUGUAUGCAUAGUGUGCAUAUUUUUUUUUCUCUAACAUGUCCUCCUCUCCCUUCUUCACUUAGAAAAUCCUAGUCCUUUAAUUAAGACUCACUGCAAAUAUUACCUCCUCUGUGAGGUCUUUACUGACACCUGCAGGCAGAGUUAGGCAGUGCAUCCUGUGUUCCCCUGGUGGCUAGCGUAUGUUGCACAACAGUUAAUUCUAUGUGUUGUGUCUGAUGUAUGUUGCAGAAUACUUUACAAUUUAUGUCUGUUAUCUCUGCUAAACUUGUUACUUUUGAGGAGAGUGAUCACAUCUUGUUUUUUUAUCCUGAAUAACUAACAAAUUACUUGGCAAUUUAGUUAAUAUUGGAUAAAAGAAUAAAAGAAACGAUGUUUUGGUCUCAGGAAUUUCGGGAGCUCCUACGGUAUCGAGAUAACUCAGACAAAACCCUUGAAGCAAAUGAAACGUUGCUUGAGAAACUUCGCCAGCGAAUACAUGAUAAAGCUGUUGCUCUGGAGGUAUGUAUCAUCAUUUCGCCCACUAUGCUAUGGAUUAUUCUAUCUACAUAGGUAUUAUAGAAAUUUGUGUUUACUUAAAUUUGCUGGUUUUGGAUUUGGUUUUCUAUUCUGCCAUCGUGUUAAAUAACAGCGAUCAGGAUCGCUUAUUGAACAGAUGGUAUGUGAGCACUUGGAAAGUGGUGAGCAUUAGAAACCAGAAUUUCUCUAAGAGCAAGGUAGGACAGAUUAAAUAAGUGGAAUGAAGGGUUUUGCAAAGACAGAGAUGUACCAUUCUCCAGGCUGCGGGGAUGUUGAGCCAGCAUGCCUUCCACCACACAUAGGCCUUCCUUCCUGCUCCUUAGCUCUGUU